rnacentral:rRNA from 1 species
AACGAACGCUGGCGGCAUGCCUAACACAUGCAAGCCGAACGAAGGCUUCGGCCUUAGUGGCGCACGGGUGAGUAACGCGUGGGAAACUGCCUAUUGGUGGGGAAUAACGACGGGAAACUGUCGCUAAUACCGCAUAAGCACUUCGGGGGAAAGAUUUAUCGCCGAUAGAUGUGCCCGCGUCCGAUUAGCUAGUUGGUGAGGUAAUGGCUCACCAAGGCGACGAUCGGUAGCUGGUCUGAGAGGCAUGAUCAGCCACACUGGGACUGAGACACGGCCCAGACUCCUACGGGAGGCAGCAGUGGGGAAUAUUGGACAAUGGCGAAGCCUGAUCCAGCAAUGCCGCGUGAGUGAUGAAGGCCUUAGGGUUGUAAAGCUCUUUCGGGUGGGACGAUGAUGAUGGUACCACCAGAAGAAGCCCCGGCUAACUUCGUGCCAGCCGCCGCCGUAA